AGUGAACGCUGGCGGUAGGCCUAACACAUGCAAGUCGAACGGCAGCACAGUAAGAGCUUGCUCUUACGGGUGGCGAGUGGCGGACGGGUGAGGAAUACAUCGGAAUCUACUUUUUCGUGGGGGAUAACGUAGGGAAACUUACGCUAAUACCGCAUACGACCUACGGGUGAAAGCAGGGGAUCUUCGGACCUUGCGCGAUUGAAUGAGCCGAUGUCGGAUUAGCUAGUUGGCGGGGUAAAGGCCCACCAAGGCGACGAUCCGUAGCUGGUCUGAGAGGAUGAUCAGCCACACUGGAACUGAGACACGGUCCAGACUCCUACGGGAGGCAGCAGUGGGGAAUAUUGGACAAUGGGCGCAAGCCUGAUCCAGCCAUACCGCGUGGGUGAAGAAGGCCUUCGGGUUGUAAAGCCCUUUUGUUGGGAAAGAAAAGCAGCAGGUUAAUACCCCGCUGUUCUGACGGUACCCAAAGAAUAAACACCGGCUAACUACGU
rnacentral:rRNA from 1 species